GGGUGAUUAGCUCAGCUGGGAGAGCACCUCCCUUAUAAGGAGGGGGUCGGCGGUUCGAUCCCGUCAUCACCCACCA
rnacentral:tRNA from 1 species